GCCCGGGUCUCAGAGAGCAGGUUGGCCGGACACCGUCGCUGCUACUCCCGCUCACCCUCCGCUUUGGGAGCCGUUCCUCGGAUACAAACUUAGUUACUGUCACUGGACACCGAACAGCCAACAGAAACAAACUGUUUGUAGAGGUGUUCCGACCGGCUGAGCCUCCCCCCUCUCAUCGGUUCACCUCGCGGUGGUCAGCGGACACUCGGUGGAGUGGGGCUUGAGAGGCUGACGGCUCGGAGACAUUUGACUGCAUGAGGAGUCCGAGCGACGGGACCCUGGUCCUCACGUAGACCCUCGCCAUACUGCCCGGACAUGAGGUCAUGCCGAUCGUUUGCAAACGACAACCACCAUGUCAUGGCCAAACACUCCAGCGUCUAUCCAGACCCAGAGGAGCUGGAGGCCAUCCAGACGCUGGUGUCCACCGUGGAGGGAGCCCUGAAGAAGGUCUCUGAUUGGAUGGAUGGCCUGAAGACCUCCUCAGGGAAGACUCCCAGCUGUAAUAACACAGAGGAGAAAGAUGCUCCUGAGACGGAGUCUGACAGCACAUCGGUGCUGUGCGGGGUGACGCGGGUCGGCCUGGUGGCCAAAGGUCUGCUGAUCAAAGGCGACAUGAACCUGGAGCUGGUGCUGAUGUGCAGAGAGAAGCCCACCACACUGCUACUGUACACCAUCAGCGCCAACCUUCCCCUGCAGAUUCAGACGAUGACAGACGACACAUAUGAAGUUCGGUCGUGCAUCUCUGAGGCAGCAAUCCAAGUCUGCAGCACCAAAGAGCCCCGACUGGCCCUGAAGAUCACCCUCUCCUCGUUAGCCAUGAUGGAGGAACACAGCACCACAGAAGAAGAAGAAGAGGACGACAAUCAGGAGGAAGACGAGCAGAGGCGUGAGGAUAGGGAGGAGGAGGAUGUCCUGGACAGGGUGAAGUGCCAGGCGGCGCUGGCGGCGCUCAGACACGCCAAGUGGUUCCAGGUCCGGGUCACCGACCUUAAGUCCUGCGUCAUCGUUCUGAGGGUUCUCAGAGACCUGUGCAACCAUCAGCCGGUGUGGGAGCCUCUCAAAGGAUGGCCGCUGGAGCUGAUCUGUGAAAAGGCCAUUGCCACCUGUAACCGGCCUCUGGGUCCAGGCGAAGCUCUACGUCGUGUCAUGGAGUGCAUCGCUUCGGGAAUCCUUCUACCAGGAGGUCCAGGACUCCAUGAUCCCUGUGAGAGGGAACCCAGAGACGUUCUGAUGCACCUCAGCGCCCAGCAGGCCGACGGCCUCACCCACAGCGCACAGCAUGCACUGCGCCUCAUAGCGUUCGGACAGCUUUACAAGGUCCUGAAUAUGGAUCCUCUGCCUGCCAACAAGGCCUCUACGAGGCUGUUAGAAGGAGGUUGUCAGAAGAGGCCCCGGGAGGACUCAGGCUGUGAAGACAGAGACUUCAUCAAACGGAUGAAAGUCCUGGACUGGAGGAUGACUGACCCAAACCAUCCCAUGAAUGCUCUGAUGCGUCUGAACCAGAUCCAUCCAGGCCUUCAGUACCGUCUGCUCUGUCAGUCGGGCCCAGUCCACGCUCCAGUCUUCACCAUGUCCGUGGAGAUCCAGGGAACCACCUACCAGGCCACCGGGAACUCCAAGAGGACCGCCAAGCUCCAAGUGGCCCUCAAGGCGCUGCAGGCUCUGGGCUUCGUGCUCAGAUCAGAUGGAGACUUGGACUCUCUGAGCGCCGAUGAGAAGUCAGAUGGAGAAGGGAAGAACGACAGGGUGUCCACCAACUCCAGCUCCACAUCCAUCACCUCCUCCACGGAGGCACAGGAGUCCAGAGCUCCGGGUCCGAUCCUGACAGCAGGAGGGAAAAACCCGGUGAUGGAACUGAACGAGAAGCGGCGCGGACUGAAAUACGACCUGAUUUCAGAGAGCGGAAGCAGCUACGACAAACGUUUCAUCAUAGAGGUGGUGGUGGACAAACAGGUUUUCCGGGGAACUGGUCCCAAUAAGAAAGUAGCCAAAGCCAGCGCAGCGCUUGCUGCUCUCAACAGCUUGUUCUCCGGGUCCAAAUCAACAAACAACAAGAAGAAGCGACCCAACCCUCCUCCAAAGCGACCCUUAACCUCCAUGCUGACCAUCCCGACCCUCGCUGCCAGACCUCCUCGGGUCCCCGUGAUCCCCAGAGCCCCCUACAUCAGCACCCCACCCACACACGGGUACAUCCCUCCAGGUUUUGGUGCUCCUUAUGGCUACAGUCCAGCAGGCCCCCUCGCUGCUUACAGUCUUCCCUCCAGAUUGCCCUCAGUAGUUGUCCCCUUCAUCCGAGUCCUCCCAGUUUACCCCGUCACCCACCUGUACCCCUAUUAAGACCACACCCUUCCACCUGUUAAAGGAAUAUCCUCACUUAAAGCUAAAUCACUGCUGGUUGAGCCGUGUGCAGCAGCUGUUAGGCAGCUCUGAUUUCUGCUGAAAUGAACGUCUUCUCCCUGAACUACGCAGAGCAGUGGCCUGUACAUCGACAGUGCCUACUACCAGCCGCAGACCAUAGCCACGCCCAUAAUCAUCCACCUGGGGCCUCAGGAUCUGUUCUGACCUCCAUCUACACACAGGAACCAGAAUCCAGACCUGAACCCUCAUUUAGAGUCCAGUCUGAUCGCACUGUCAGUUUCCUCUCCUCCUCUUCCUCCUCACAGCAGCCAGCAGCAACACUGAAAGCAAUAUGGAAGACGACGACGUCUCGGGCAGCACAAGUCCAGUUCUGGUUCCUGAGUGAGGCCGGCUCCGAGGAUACGUCACAAACCAAUACUCUGGCUGCCUUCAGGGGCCCCAAACAUCCCAUAAAAUGUUUAAAAUACAACAUUUACUGUUUCUGUACAAGUUCAGAGGUGUUAAUAGAUUUAAAUAUAAACUGCAGCUGAAGAAACACAUUUAUAUCAUAUUUAUGAAUGUAAAUACAGUAAUGACUGUAACUGCUUUGUAUUCAAACCACAUAUCUACAGACUGCCUAUUAAACUGUAUUACGAUGGUAUUUAAUCCUGUAUUAAACAUUCCUGUAUAUCAGAGCCUAAGCAGCA